AGAGUUUGAUCCUGGCUCAGGACGAACGCUGGCGGCGUGCUUAACACAUGCAAGUCGAACGGUAACAGAAAGAGCUUGCUCUUUGCUGACGAGUGGCGCACGGGUGAGUAAUAUAUAGUUAACGUACCCCUAAGCCUGGGAUAGCCACUGGAAACGGUGAUUAAUACUGGAUAUUCCUUCUACUUAUUAAGAGUAGUCGGGAAAGGUUUUUCGCUAAGGGAUCGGACUAUAUUGUAUCAGCUAGUUGGUGAGGUAAGAGCUCACCAAGGCAAUGACACAUAGCGGGUUUGAGAGGAUGAUCCGCCACACUGGUACUGAGACACGGACCAGACUCCUACGGGAGGCAGCAGUGAGGAAUAUUGCACAAUGGAGGAAACUCUGAUGCAGCAACGCCGCGUGGAGGAUGACGCAUUUCGGUGUGUAAACUCCUUUUAUAAGAGAAGAAAAUGACGGUAUCUUAUGAAUAAGUCCCGGCUAACUCCGUGCCAGCAGCCGCGGUAAUACGGAGGGGACAAGCGUUAUUCGGAAUCACUGGGCGUAAAGGACGCGUAGGCGGGUUAUUAAGUCGGGUGUGAAAUCCAAUGGCUCAACCAUUGAACU
rnacentral:rRNA from 1 species